CUGAAGACGGAAAGAGAGGCCGUCCGCGUACUGCGUAGCAGUUACAUCAGACUGAGACACUUCCUGUUUACAGGAGACUUUAUAAACCCCUGCCGCAUACUCAUUUGGUGCUGACGCCAUUGUAGACCUCAGCCCGUCUGUACCCAGGCGCUCAUUAGAACAGCGUGUUGCUCCACACCGCCUUGUGGUGUUUGUUACCGCGCUCUUGGGGUUCGAACCGAUACAGCAGGCUUGCAGCUAUUUCAUUGGUUUAAACUUUUAUUUUUUUAUUGCAAAUGAAAAUUACUAUCAACUAUCAUUACAAAGCUGUAGAAUAUGAAGUUCGAAGGAAAACGCUGAAUCAGUAUACAAAAGCGUCUCAAUCAGACUCAUCCAUUUUGAAGCAAUUCCUCUGCCAUUUUGCCACCUCCUCUCAAAUUCAGCGACUUACCAGGUAAACUCCUCUUGUAGAUUGCUCUUCAAAGGUAAGCUCAUGCCGAGGGUACAACACAGUGGUUAAGACACUGGUGAUAAAACUGGAUCUUUCCUCUAGCAUCUACUUAACAUGAUAUGUUAAUAUGAAGUGUGUGCUUUGUAUACUUUGAGAUGCACCACAAAAAAGGUCUAAAAUUUCUUCAGAAAACACAAUUCUGAAUGUCUGUGGUGUUUGAGGUAAUGAGUGCCUUCUUUACCAUGUAAAGGACCUGAGGUAGUUAACACAUGAAGUCAUCAUUAUUCAAGUUGCUUUCCUGACAACUAUAAGAUGAGAUAAGUUUUGGUGGAAAUUUGAGAGCUGAUGGGGUGGAGAGUAGAAGAGAUGGCCUAAUUCUGUAUGCAGGUCAUUGCCUUUGAAGACAGGCUUAGGUGGAGCUCUGAGGGAGGAGGAGGAGGAGACGGGAGGAUGGGACCCAGGGUAGAUGAAGAGUAGGCCGGUAGAGGAAGGUGCAGUUGGUUGGUACAUAUGGGUGGGCUUUGGGUGCUGAGGAGCAGAGAGAGAGAGGUAUUAAGAGUUAGGACAAUGCCAGGCCAAAUUAGUCUAUGUGGCUAUUUUGCUCAAAAACCUGUUUUACAACUUCUUGCCCUUGCCGUAGAAUUAUGCAGGAGCCUGAGGCCUGGAAUCCUCCUAAGACAUUCAGACCCGCUUAGGUGGAGCUCUUCAUUCGGCCACUGAACUCUUGCUUUACCCAGAACCUACUAGAUAACUGUCCACGCUUCUCCAAAUACUCCCUGACUCUCUAACUUCAGUUUCUCCUUUGGUGACAAGUCAAUGGCAUUCUCAGCUUCCCUUCUCAUCCCCAGAGCAGGGUGUCCUACACCUUUUCUUCCCUUUCUGAUCUCUUCUCCCUCUCAGCUCUAACCCCUAACCCUAAUCCUCCAUUUUGGUGAAUGUGGAUUUUACCCCUCUCCUGAUAUAACUUUACAAUUUAUCCUCCUGAAUCAAUUUAAGAAAACCUUGUGCCAGUUUACUAUAGAAAGGGGUUAUAAUAUGUUAUGAGCAAACAACUAAAUGAAAGCUGGAGCUGGGAAGAAAUCCAGUGUAUCAGCAUCACUAGUAACGUUAUCUGGAGAUCCUGUUUCUAGCCCAGUUUUUCCUUAAGUAGUAUCUACAUCUGAUUAUAAAUCCUACCUCUCCCCAAAUGCUGUUUUAUAAAGAAGUAGAAGAAAUGUAGAAUCUGGGAUUACGUUUCUCCAUGGUUCUGGAUGUCAGGAUUGCACCAAAACAAUAUAAAUUAUAAUUUUAAGUUACCGAGUUUAGAAAUCAAAUUCCCUUAAUAUUAGGUUGGUGCAAAACUUAAAAUCACAAUGAUUUUGCACCAAUCUAAUAAAUAGUCUAAAAUAAAAUGGUUUUCGGUAUUGCAGAGAGGGCCCGAAUCAGGAGGCGGACCCCAGUUCCAGGUCUGCCCUCAACUUCCUGGGCAUCUUGUGGAAAUAACUUUUCUCUGAGCCUCAUGGUACUAAUUCAUGAAAUAAGGUUAUGAUACCUAUGUCACCAAAGUACUGUGAAGUUUGAAUGAGAUAAUGAAUGGGAAGCCACCUUUUAAUGUGCCAGGCACACAAGAGUCAUUCAAUAAUUAUUGUUUGAAUCUGAACCCCAUUGUCAAAGGCAUUCAAACCAGGGGGACUCCAUCUUGGAGUAGGAGCUGGGUAAAAUGAAGCUCAGACCUGCUGGGUUUUAUUCCCCAGGAGGUUAGGCAUUCUUAGUUAACAGGAUAUUUACAGUUAAGAGAAUAAGUUAAUCGUGUUUACUGAACAGACCUACGACCUAACAGACCCAGGAAAUGUCCUGAUGUCCUGAUAUCUUAAGAACAAAAGCAUUCUUAAACUAAGAAUCAGUUUCACUUUAAAGAUAAUAAUAUAAAUUCUUGCAGAAGACUGUAGUUACACAAGAAUUAACAAUUAUUUGUCAAAAGCUCUUGUAGUAAAGCACAUCUCCCCCAUGAUUUUUUUGCUUUGUUAUCUUAUAUAUAUAAAAGCAUUGCACCCAAGGUGGGCAUGUUCCUCCUCUUGCUUUUGGGAAUGCUCUGCCCCGUCUAUAGAGUAGCUAUUCUUUAUUCUUUCAUUCCUCUGUUUUCUAUUUUUCUUUUUUUUUUUGAGACGGAAACUUGCUCUGCCUCCAGGCUGGAGCACAGUGGUGCGAUCUCGGCUCACUGCAACCUCUACCUCCCGGGUUCAAGCAAUUCUCCUGCCUCAGCCUCCCGAGUAGCUGAGACUACAAGUGCCUGCCAGCACGCCCAGCUA
rnacentral:lncRNA from 10 species